AACAGGGAGCUUGCUCCGCUGACGAGUGGCGAACGGGUGAGUAAUGUAUCGGAACGUACCUUUCAGUGGGGGAUAACGUAGCGAAAGUUACGCUAAUACCGCAUAUUCUGUGAGCAGGAAAGCAGGGGAUCGCAAGACCUUGCGCUGAUUGAGCGGCCGAUAUCAGAUUAGCUAGUUGGUGAGGUAAAGGCUCACCAAGGCGACGAUCUGUAGCGGGUCUGAGAGGAUGAUCCGCCACACUGGAACUGAGACACGGUCCAGACUCCUACGGGAGGCAGCAGUGGGGAAUUUUGGACAAUGGGGGCAACCCUGAUCCAGCCAUGCCGCGUGAGUGAAGAAGGCCUUCGGGUUGUAAAGCUCUUUCGGCCGGGAAGAAAUCGCAUGGGUUAAUACCCUGUGCGGAUGACGGUACCGGCAUAAGAAGCACCGGCUAACUACGUGCCAGCAGCCGCGGUAAUACGUAGGGUGCGAGCGUUAAUCGGAAUUACUGGGCGUAAAGCGUGCGCAGGCGGUUUUGUAAGACAGGCGUGAAAUCCCCGGGCUCAACCUGGGAACUGCGCUUGUGACUGCAAGGCUAGAGUAUGGCAGAGGGGGGUGGAAUUCCACGUGUAGCAGUGAAAUGCGUAGAGAUGUGGAGGAACACCAAUGGCGAAGGCAGCCCCCUGGGCCAAUACUGACGCUCAUGCACGAAAGCGUGGGUAGCAAACAGGAUUAGAUACCCUGGUAGUCCACGCCCUAAACGAUGUCAACUAGGUGUUGGGUGGGUAAAACCAUUUAGUACCGGAG
rnacentral:rRNA from 1 species